rnacentral:lncRNA from 10 species
CCAACAUUUGGUGUUUUCAGACCUUUCAUUCUAUUCAUUCAGGGUGCAGCUCUUCUGAGCUUUUUCCAGUCCUGAAAGACCAUGGGAAGUCUAUCUAUGCUCUUCAGAUGCCCUUCCCAGGAUGAAUGAGGACCUUUGAAAAUUAAACCCAGUGAAAAUGGCAAGGAAGGUCAUGGAAGAAAAGUGAUCAGCGUGAACAAAGGAAUAAAGUCAGUGGUGGGCUGCUAAAUGUCUAACAAUGGGCUCUGGGGAAGGAAUGUGCACAGUUGGCCCUUGCAAGCAGGUAAGAGCAGACUGCAGUAUAUCACUGAGUAGAGAUAUGUAACAAUGUGGAAAUGUGAGCAGGUAGUAGUUUGGUGCAAUAGAAUAUGGAGUAUAAAUUUGGUUGUUGUUAAGAUUUUUUUUAUAAUAUAAACAUUCUAGACCAUUCAAAAAGCCUUGUGAUUUUUCUUCCCCACAGUCACCUUAGAAAAGUAGGGAU